rnacentral:misc_RNA from 1 species
ACAUUUAUUAAAAGGGAAACAAAUAAAAGUUGCUGUUCAUUAUUCUAAAUCUUAUUGGCAGUUUGGCACUUAAUACAAGUUCCAGAACAAAACGUUUCUUUUAUUUGUUUCCCUUUUAAUAAAUGUACAGUAAAGAGGAGGCUAUGAGAUGAAAACAUAUCAUCUCAAAAACAACAUGAGUAAUUCUGGUUUUUCAAUCAAUUGUUUCCACUCAUUGCAAAAUUUUGCAACUGUUGCCCCAUCCAGAACUCUAUGGUCUGCACCAAUAUUUACAGUCAUGAUUGAUGCGGGAUACACAUUUCCAUCAUCUGCAAACUGUGGAACCUUCUGAAUUCUACCAAUAGCAAUAAUGGCAACUUCAGGCAAGUUGAUGAUAGGGGCACCAAACUUCCCACCAAUUGCACCAAUAUUGCUUAGAGUUAUUGUUCCACCAGUUAUAUCCUCAGGGUUAAGCUUGUUCUCCGUUGCCAAUUGUUGUAACCGUGCCAAUUCCUUUGUUAUCUCCAAGAUGGAAAGAGACUGAACAUUCUUUAUGUUGGGCACAACCAGACCAUGUGGAGUAGCCAUGGCAAUUCCUAUAUUGUGGGAACCUUUUAGAAUCAUCUCUACUGCUUCAUCAUUGAAGGAACUAUUCAUCCAUGGAUACCUGUUGAGGGCCAUUGAAAGUGACUUUAUCAAUAAUGGAAGGAAAGUAUGCUUGAUGCCUGGAUCAGUACUAUUAUUCUGGAAAGAUGCUUUAAGCUCCACUAAUGCGUUGCAAUUAAUCUCUUCUACAUAAUGAAAAUGUGGAACUUUUGCAGCCAUGGACAUUGUCUUCACCAUAGUCCGUUGGAAACCCCUUAGGGGAACUAUCUUAUCCUCAUGAGGUUGUCCUACUUCUGCUGAAGCAUACGAGUAUUUCUCUUUUUCCCCCAGAAACUGGUUCCCAGAAUCAGCUUUCACAGUUCCAGAUGAAUCUUCAAUUAUUCCUUUCUGAAUGCCAUAUUUAAGCAAGUCUUCUUUUAGUAUCCUUCCAUCUUUCCCAGUUCCAUGGACAUCAUUUAAAUUUAUAUUAUAUUGCUUUGCAAGGAGCCGAACAGCUGGUGUCGACAGGACUCCAUCAAUUUGACUUUUUUCCAGCUUGGAACCAAGUGGCUUUGUAUCUUCCAAAUCAUCAUGCACAUGUGCAGGAGCUUGACAUUCCUCGACAAUCAUUUUUAGAAGAGUUUCUCCAACCUUUACAAUGUCUCCAGGAACAUAGAGAAUUUGAGCUACUUUCCCCUUGUAACGACUUGUUAUUUCAAUAGUUGCUUUGUCACUCUGAACUUCACAUAGUGGUUGAAAUUCCUCAACCUCAUCGCCCUGAUGCACGAACCAUUUGAGAAGUUCACAUUCAGCGAUACCUUCACCAGUUUGCGCUAAAGGCACAUCAACUAUCCCACCCACUGGAAGAUCCGCCAAAGCAUGACUCGAAAAGCAACAUCUAUUCACCCUAUAUUGAAUGCCACUGUCGAUAGAGUUAUUAACCAAUCG